rnacentral:piRNA from 1 species
UGCAAGGUGUCUUAUGGAUUUGAAGUGU